UACGUAGGGUGCAAGCGUUGUCCGGAAUUAUUGGGCGUAAAGAGCUCGUAGGCGGUGUGUCGCGUCUGCUGUGAAAACUCAGGGCUCAACUCUGAGCUUGCAGUGGGUACGGGCACACUAGAGUGCUGUAGGGGAGACUGGAAUUCCUGGUGUAGCGGUGAAAUGCGCAGAUAUCAGGAGGAACACCGGUGGCGAAGGCGGGUCUCUGGGCAGUUACUGACGCUGAGGAGCGAAAGCAUGGGGAGCGAACA
rnacentral:rRNA from 1 species